rnacentral:rRNA from 1 species
AGUGAACGCUGGCGGUAGGCCUAACACAUGCGAGUCGAACGGCAGCACAGGAGAGCUUGCUCUCUGGGUGGCGAGUGGCGGACGGGUGAGGAAUACAUCGGAAUCUACUCUGUCGUGGGGGAUAACGUAGGGAAACUUACGCUAAUACCGCAUACGACCUACGGGUGAAAGCAGGGGACCUUCGGGCCUUGCGCGAUUGAAUGAGCCGAUGUCGGAUUAGCUAGUUGGCGGGGUAAAGGCCCACCAAGGCGACGAGCCGUAGCUGGUCUGAGAGGAUGAUCAGCAACACUGGAACUGAGACACGGUCCAGACUCCGACGGGAGGCAGCAGUGGGGAAUAUUGGACAAUGGGCGCAAGCCUGAUCCAGCCAUACCGCGUGGGUGAAGAAGGCCUUCGGGUUGUAAAGCCCUUUUGUUGGGAAAGAAAUCCAGCUGGCUAAUACCCGGUUGGGAUGACGGUACCCAAAGAAUAAGCACCGGCUAACUUCGUGCCAGCAGCCGCAGUAA